GAUGAACGCUGGCGGCGUGCUUAACACAUGCAAGUCGAACGAAGCACUUUGAUCGAUUUCUUCGGAUUGAAAUUUUAGUGACUGAGUGGCGGACGGGUGAGUAACGCGUGGGUAACCUGCCUCACACAGGGGGAUAACAGUUGGAAACGGCUGCUAAUACCGCAUAAGCGCACAGUACCGCAUGGUACAGUGUGAAAAACUCCGGUGGUAUAAGAUGGACCCGCGUCUGAUUAGCUAGUUGGUGAGGUAACGGCUCACCAAGGCGACGAUCAGUAGCCGACCUGAGAGGGUGACCGGCCACAUUGGGACUGAGACACGGCCCAGACUCCUACGGGAGGCAGCAGUCGGGAAUAUUGCGCAAUGGAGGAAACUCUGACGCAGCGACGCCGCGUGCAGGAAGAAGGUUUUCGGAUUGUAAACUGCUUUAGACAGGGAAGAAAUAAGACAGUACCUGUAGAAUAAGCUCCGGCUAACUACGUG
rnacentral:rRNA from 1 species